UGGGGAAUUUGGACAAUGGGCGAAAGCCUGAUCCAGCAAUGCCGCGUGUGUGAAGAAGGCCUUCGGGUUGUAAAGCACUUUUGUCCGGAAAGAAAUCCUUGGCUCUAAUACAGUCGGGGGAUGACGGUACCGGAAGAAUAAGCACCGGCUAACUACGUGCCAGCAGCCGCGGUAAUACGUAGGGUGCAAGCGUUAAUCGGAAUUACUGGGCGUAAAGCGUGCGCAGGCGGUUUGCUAAGACCGAUGUGAAAUCCCCGGGCUCAACCUGGGAACUGCAUUGGUGACUGGCAGGCUAGAGUAUGGCAGAGGGGGGUAGAAUUCCACGUGUAGCAGUGAAAUGCGUAGAGAUGUGGAGGAAUACCGAUGGCGAAGGCAGCCCCCUGGGGCCAAUACUGACGCUCAUGCACGAAAGCGUGGGGAGCAAACAGGAUUAGAUACCCUGGUAGUCCACGCCCUAAACGAUGUCAACU
rnacentral:rRNA from 1 species